rnacentral:lncRNA from 12 species
AGGGAGAGAAAAAAUGUGAUAAUACAAUAUGUUUUCUUUAUAGUUCUCUUUAUCAAUUUUUUUAAAAAAGUCUUGCCCUGGAACUAUAGAUUUAAUAAAAAAACAAACAAACAAAGAAUAACAGAAGAUUAAUACAGUUACCAUCGAUGGCUCAAAUUCUACCUCCAGAAAUUUUGUCUCACAAGCAUUAUGCAAGAUUUUCAAAGGAAAUGAGCUUGGAACACCAUUUGAGCAACUGGGCAAGCACGCAGGUCCAUAAAUGGCAUCUCCAGCAGCACGAAAAGAUCCGUUUGCAAGUGUUGGCACUGGCUCCAGCUUUUCAGUUCGUGAUGACUUGUGUGAAGAUCAACAGAGAAGCAAGCUUCAGAAUGAGAGAACCAGGCAAUUGAACAAAAUGUGAGUGGGGAAGUGGAAGGAAAGGGAGGUAGAGGGUGUGGUAUGGGAAGA